rnacentral:lncRNA from 1 species
ACAUAUAAACCCACAGUCACUGUGGGUGGAAGGAGAAGGGCAGGGUGGAAAAAGUUUGAGAGAAGGAGGGAGGAAAAGGUGUCCUGACUAGCACCGUGUGGAUUCUCUUGAGAUGAGAAGAAAAUGCCUGGCUACGUCCCCCUUCUGCUGCUCCUGCUUCUCCUGAGGUGUUCAGAAUGGGGUGGGGGAGUUAAUUUUGGUGAGAAGGAUGCAAAAGUCCCCAGGACCUGGAGAGAUGGAGUCAGGGUCCCUGGAGAAGGAACCUCUUGGGACUCAGACAGGGCCAGUCCUGAGCGAAGGUACGGAAUAGAUGGAGCGCCUGGCCAGCUGUCUCAUUUUAAAUCAUACACCAAGCAUGACCUGAGUGUAAUCUAUCUCUAACAUGAAUCACAGCUUCUGCCUCAUUGGUUUCCCAGAACUCCAGGCACAACUGGAUGAGAGGAGACACCUAUGAACAUGGAGCCAGAAUACCCCAAUUGCUGAAACACCAGUUCAGAGAGGAGUGAGCUCGAGAAAGAGUCAGGUUUAGUGUCCCAUGGAAAGAAACAAGACCUGGAAAAGACAGAGUCAAAGCUGGGUGAGCAGGCCUUCGAAGGGCGUGGCUCAGCAAAGAUAAUCCAUAUUGUAGUGCAAGAGGAUUCUUUGUGGAAUAUAUUUUACCGGAAUUAAACCAAAAAUGCCAAAUGAUCCCUAACUCAAAUAAAUCUCACCACAUUACCUGGGGAGAUGUGUCAUUUGGAUGUGAGGAUAGUUAUGAAAAUACUGAGCAGAGCAGAUGAGGAUAGACCAUCAACAAUUCAUAUUAAAUAAGAUUACUUUUUAGUAGGACUAAGCCAAAGCAUUUCCACUAAGCACCCAGAGACCAGCCCUAAAGACUCAAGAAUAAGAGAAAAUGAUGUAACUGCAGGUGGAAGGACCACUGAGGAUCACAUCACAGGAGACCCAGGGACCACCGAGGACUCUGUCACUGCAGACCCAGGGACCACUGAGGACAACGUGACUGCGGACCCAGGGACCACCGAGGGCUCUGUCACUGCAGACCCAGGGACCACCAAGGACUAUGUGACUGCACACCCAGGGACCACCAAGGAUUCCGUCACUGCAGACCCAGGGACCACCAAGGACUUCAUCACUGCAGACCCAGGGACCACCAAACACUCCAUCACUGCAGACACAGGGACCACUGAGAACUUUGUCACUGCAGACCCAGGGACCACCAAGGACUAUGUCACUGUAGACCCAGGGAUCACUGAGGACUCCAUCACUGCAGACCCAGGGACCACCUAGGACUCUGUCACUGCAGACCCAAGGACCACUGAGGACUCCAUCACUGCAGACCCAGGGACCACCUAGGACUCCGUCACUGCAGACCCAAGGACCACUGAGGACUCCAUCACUGCAGACCCAGGGACCACCAAACACUCCAUCACUGCAGACCUGGGGACCACCGAGGACUCUGUCACUGCAGACCCAGGGACCACAGAAGAUGAAACCACUAAACAUGGUGACACUCACCUUCUGUGAACUACUUCAGUCACAGCAGUGAAACCCACGAGGCUCCUGACACCAUGAGAAUUAUCCUCAUAUCCCUGGCUGCAACCAUAGUCACUGUUGUGCUCUUUGUUGGAUUGGGCUUCAUUGUGAAAGAGUGUUUCCUGCCUCCAUUAAAUCCAUCCACCAGGGUUAUUUAUCAUCACCAUGUCAUGGACUAGAGUACACCAUAAAGAGGACCCCAGCAGUGACUACAGUUGGUUCUAGAAAAAGCAGACCCCUCGUCCGCCUCUGCAGGACUAUGCAGCUUGAUGUGUAUCCUCAGGCCUCCACUCCUCUGCCCCAGUCUGGAGCCCUGGGACCACCACAUGAGGAAGGCAGCUGGCCCCUGGAAUAAGCAUUUGGAGGACACUCAGAAGGAUGCCCAUCUGCUCUUAGUGUCUCCUAAUUCUGCCUGGCCUUGGUUACUUCCUCUGGACAAUCGCCUUUACCUAUCUACUAGGUUUUGAGGAAUUACACACAGCUCAGGUAUAAGAGAUAUUCAGUAAGUCUGAUCAAAUCAAUAAAGCAAAUUUCAUCUGUUUUUGUCUGGGACAUAUCUCUACAUUCAUUCAUUUAACA